rnacentral:lncRNA from 1 species
CUUAUAACAGAGUGAAAAUUUUUUGUUUCUUCAUCAACGGUUAGUGUGUUUAUAGAAUAAAAUUUCCUAGGUGGCAAUUUUGCACAUAUUUGAUGACUUCAUGCACAAUGUUUUCAGCCAGUUAACAUGACAUAAGACAUUUCAAGGAAUUCACAUGAAACCUAAUGUUUUGUUUUUUUUCACAUAACUGUAUUAAAGAGUUUUAGGGGCUAUGGGCAUAUCUCUUAUAGCUGACUAUAAGUAACAUGUUUUCUUAAAGUACAUUAUUGUGAUUCAAAACCAUUUUUUGAGUGUUUAAAUUUAGAUUUCCUGUAUAAUUUCAAAUUAUUAUAUCUACUCUAUAAAUGUCAUUCUUGAAUUGACACAACAAUAUAUAUAGCUUCUUAUUACUUACCAUGGUGCUUAUGCAUUUGCCUCCUUCAAGUCAGGCAAUGACACCAGUGCUCCAAGUAAUUGGCAAGGAGCAUGGUAGCAUAGUAGCUUGAUUGAUCACUUUGGUAAGCUAACUGUAUUUUGUUAUAUUCUGUAUUUUGGUCUUUUGUGCACAUUUUGACACCAUUAGUUGUCUGUUGGACCACAUCACAUCACUAAAUAUUCUGUUGAAAAUCCAAAGCCAAUUUAAUGAAGCUCUUGAUUAAAUUUAUAUGGAAUAUUAAUCAGUGAUAGUGUAUUUUAUAUACUUAUUCGGGGCCCUAAAAUAGCAAAAUUUGAUAGUUCUUUUGACAAAUUAUAUCCUAAAUUGUUGUAUUUUGUGUUUUAUAGGUAAACUCGAUAAAUGAAAAGGAGUUAAAGAAAAGAAGCAAAAUUGGAGAAAAAUAGCAAAAUCCAAAACAUGGGGAUUAAAUUGACCAUUUCGUAGAAGUUGGGGACUUGGAGAAAAAAUAAUUUAUUAAUUGGGCAGCCAUUGAAUCAAAUUCUUUAGUUAGUUGAACUCAAUAGGACAACAUGGCGGCCAGCUGGAAAUUUAAGAAUAAUUGGAAUUCUACUUCAAAGUGGGUUAUAUAUAUGGAGAGAGAUCUACACAAUUGGCCUUUUUUUCUAUUAUAUAUAUUCACAAAAAUUGGUGGGCUGAAUGUAGAGAUCAAUUCAACAGAAAACGAAGGUUGUUGGCUGAUUUUGAGAGAUAAUUGGGCUUUGUGUUGAG